UCUUGUGGAUGAGCAAAGAAAGCGGUUUCUUGAGAGAAUCUAUUCCUGGUGAAGAUGCUGUGAA
rnacentral:pre_miRNA from 1 species